CAAAAUCAGUCCUUAAGUAUAGAAAUACAGACCAUAUCUAGACCGUCAGAUCUGGAGAUUAAUGGCUAAGAUCUGGAGUGACUCCUCGUUUUAUAUGGGUCAUAAUAAGGCCGAUCUAUGUCAUGUUAGGGGUAAUUUAGGAAACAAAAAUAUUAAUAACUGUCGUUCCGUUUUUAGGCCCUGAUUAAUUGGGAUUGGGAGUAAUUACUGCACACGUUCCAUUCUAUUUCACUCUCUUUCAACAAAAACUCUCCAAUCUCCCUCAAAUCUUCUUCUUCUACCACCAAAUCAACAAAAAAUCAUUCAACAAAAAAUCGUCUCGGCCCCUCAAAAUCGUCGUCUCCUCCACAGAUUCGUCUUCUCCUCCACAAAAAUGUCGCCUCCUCAAAAACCCUAUUCCUACUCCAGAAAAUCGACGGAGAAGGGGAACCAAAACCUACUUUACCACCAAAUCAACAAAAACCCUUCUCCAAAUCAACAAAAACCCUUCUCCAAAUCAAAGCGUCUCCACCUCAAAACCGUCGUCUCCUCCACAAAAUCGUUGUCUCCACCAGAAAAUCGAAUCCUCCACGAUUUUGGAAGACGGUGAACCAAAAGCCUACUUCAACAAUGGUGGACACUCGAGCAUCUGGAUCUGCUAGUCAUGACGGAAAAAAGGACGUUCUUUUGUAAGUAUUUAACAAUGAUUGGUUGUCACAAUCAAUGCAAAUCAGUGAUCAACGCACCUAUUCAGAGGUUGAAAAUGAGUUGGACAACGACAGACAAUGUUGAUGACAACAGGGUUUAUUUGCUUAGACACCUUGAAGUCUACAUGGGUGAAAGAGAGGGUCAAUGACUUUUGAAUGCUUUCCUCUUGUUUUUUGUAGACGAUAGCCCAUGCGAUGAAUAUUACUCGAUACAUUGGGUCACAAUAAAUCAAUAUUUGAGUUAUAGAA